rnacentral:lncRNA from 1 species
UUUUUUUUUUUUUUUUUUUCACCUUACUUGGAACUCAAAUACAGUUGCUCUCUGCCUGUAUGGAAUUGUAGUCUGGCACUCUAGUUUAUUUCAAGACUCUUAUUUGCUUCAGUUUUAUAUCAGACUAUACCAUAGAUAUAUGUUUCUCUUUUGUAGCUCAAACUGGAAGAUUAUAAAGAUCGCCUUAAAAAUGGAGAGCAGCUUAACCCAGACCAGUUGGUAAGUAGUUGUAAGAGUCUUUGUUUGACCUACUGGUCUGCUUUCUUUUCUCUUUUUGUUUGUUGAGAUAGGGUCUCUACAUAGCCUUGGCUACCCUGGAACUCACUGUGUUGAUCAGGCUGGUCUUGAACUCACAGAGAUCUACCUCUCAGUCCUGAGAUUCAAGAUAUGUGUCACCACACCUGGCUGGUUUCCUAUCUUGAUAGAACUUGAUAAGGAUUUAGUAAAGCUAUAGACUUGAUAGGCCAAUGAGAUAGAAUCCACUGGUUUUCCUCAAUGACUUUUGUUGUUUUGCCUGUUAGAUCUUACAGAUGGGCUUAUUUCUGCUGUACUAUUGGAUGAUACAGAUGAUUAGAUAACAGCACAAAUUAGAUUAGAUGAGUUACCAUAUACAUUGAAACUUCUAGGAAGACUGAGUAUACUCAAGUUUUUAACUCUUCACUGGCUUUCUACAAAGUUGACACCCUUCUUUUCUAAAAUCUGUUCCUUGUAGCUUUGUCUCAUGAUUCCUCAGUUGUUCUUUUUUACUUUCUUUCAUAAUUGAGCUAUGACCCCAGCCUUUUAAAAAUUACAUUUACUAUAAACAUUGGUGAUAAUUUUCUUCUUUUGAAUUCACAGUGAUACUCCUACAUUACCCUUUGAAAUUCUGGCAUUACAGACAGUUGAGGCAUCAUGCCCAGCUACAACUUUAUCUUUUACAUGUUUGACUUGUUAAUGGGUAUACUUGGUAAUUUCAUUUUUUAUCUAAUUUGUGGAGUUCCACAAUUUUGCAAUAUGAACUAAAAGAAAAUACAUUAUUGAUAUUUGCAGUUUGGCUUGAUCACAUUUCCUGUUUUAUAAGAAGGGACAAAAUGUGCUUGAAGUUAUUUAAGAUUUAUUUCUUAAAAUAUAUAUCUAUACAUGUCUAUGUGUGGGUAUGUGCAUGUUAGUGCAGGUGCCUGUGGAGGUAUUGGAUCCCCUGAAGCUCUAGUUACAGGCAGUUCUGAGGUACCUUCCCAGUGUGGGUGAUAGAAACCAAAUCCACGUUCUCUGGAAAGCAGCAAGUGCUUCUUUAACUCCUUCCAGCCCUGGUCUGGCUCACGGGCCUGUUAUCUUUUCAACUAAAAUGACUGGUUUUGUAUUGUAGGCAUUUAAGGUGUUUUCUUCCUUGCUUUGUUGUCAUCUUUUCUGGCCCCAAAGUUCUGUGGCACAGCAAUUACGAUUCUGUUGAGGCUUAGCUUUGAAAUGUGUUAGCUCUGAGCAUGGUGUACCCUUCAGCUGGUGGAGGGGCUUAUCUUCUCAGCCAGAAUUUAUUUCCUUGAUGGAGGCUUCAUGCUCUGUCCACUAACUUAAAUGUGGAAGCUUCUCUUUCUGUAAGAAUUAUAGAGUAGUAUCACUGAGGGUUUUUUGUUUUUUUGUUUUUUUUUAAAAUCUGAGCCCAGGUAAAGUGCUUGGUGUACAAGCAUGAGAGCCUGAGUUCAGUCUCCAAAGUCCACGUAACAAUCAGGGUGCAGUGGUGCAUUCUUGUAAUCCCAGCACUGGUAUGGUGAAGGCAGAUUCCUGGGGCUUCCUAGCCUAUUUGGCAUGUUCCAGGCCAAUUGUUUCCAAAAACCAAACCAAACCAAACCAAACCAAACCAAAAACCACC